UACGUAGGGGGCAAGCGUUGUCCGGAUUUAUUGGGCGUAAAGAGCGUGUAGGCGGUCAGGUAGGUCCGUUGUGAAAACUCGAGGCUCAACCUCGAGACGCCGAUGGAAACCAUCUCGACUAGAGUCCGGAAGAGGAGAGUGGAAUUCCUGGUGUAGCGGUGAAAUGCGGCAGAUAUCAGGAAGAACACCCGUGGCAAGGCGG
rnacentral:rRNA from 1 species